UCCACAGCGAUGCAGUAAGUCAGGUCUAUAGAUCCACAGCUAUACAGUAAGUCAGGUCUAUAGAUCCACAGCUAUGCAGUAAGUCAGGUCUAUAGAUCCACAGCUAUACAGUAAGUCAGGUCUAUAGAUCCACAGCUAUGCAGUAAGUCAGGUCUAUAGAUCCACAGCUAUACAGUAAGUCAGGUCUAUAGAUCCACAGCUAUACAGUAAGUCAGGUCUAUAGAUCCACACCACAGCUAUGCAGUAAGUCAGGUCUAUAGAUCCACACCACAGCUAUGCAGUAAGUCAGGUCUAUAGAUCCACAGCUAUACAGUAAGUCAGGUCUAUAGAUCCACACCACAGCUAUGCAGUAAGUCAGGUCUAUAGAUCCACACCACAGCUAUGCAGUAAGUCAGGUCUAUAGAUCCACAGCUAUACAGUAAGUCAGGUCUAUAGAUCCACAGCUAUGCAGUAAGUCAGGUCUAUAGAUCCACAGCUAUGCAGUAAGUCAGGUCUAUAGAUCCACAGCUAUGCAGUAAGUCAGGUCUAUAGAUCCACAGCUAUGCAGUAAGUCAGGUCUAUAGAUCCACACCACAGCUAUGCAGUAAGUCAGGUCUAUAGACCCACAGCUAUGCAGUAAGUCAGGUCUAUAGAUCCACAGCUAUGCAGUAAGUCAGGUCUAUAG